rnacentral:lncRNA from 1 species
AGAAGCAAGAAGCUGUCUUCCCGCCCCCGCGUGCCUACAAUCAGCCCCAGUCUCCCUGGGAAACCGACGAGCGCACCUGAGCUGGGUUCUGAGCUCCAGCGUUUUGGGGCUAGAAGUUGCGGACUAGUAGCUGAGGCGGCACGGGAGUGUAGGCGCGCGGGGUCGUUGCCGGGGGCACAGAGUGAGAACAAGCAAGGGAGCCCUGCUGAAUUGCAGCUUAGGAAGCCCUGAAUCCUGGAGCAGUGAAGGCAGUGAGGGGCUGUGGUGUGAUCCAGGAGGCUGAGAAUUAUGCAGUGGGUGCUGUCACCUUGAAGACAUCAGCGUGAUCAGGCAGAUCAUCAUGGUACUGCAUUUCCUGGACACGAUCUUAAUUUUCUUAAUACCUCCACCGACAUUUCAAAUAGCGUCUCUAAUGCCCCAGAGACUUUUAUGCCCCUAAGGUAGUUUUCUUUCUUUUGUGAAGCAGAAGAAGGGAAAUUGUUAAAGGGAAUAUUUUAACUAAAUUUAUUUCCAUAAAACUAUCUUUGUCUUUAUAUCUCAUGGAAAGUGUUAGGUAGCCUCAGGAUUAUAUCUCCGUUGGAAAACUGUAGAUGUAAACCUUCUUGCUAUCUACAUACUUACAUAUUUUUCUGUUGUUAUUUACUUAUGAAUAGCAUUUUGAUUAUAGCAGAAAUAAAAUACAUUAAAUGACUAAGCUCAGAAAUAAGAAAAAAAGGUCAAUGGUGAUCAUUUAUUUGGAAACUAUGAUAUUUUAAUGAUAUUAAUGGUGUAAUUGACAUUUAGUUAAACAUAUUUCAUCGUAAGUAGAGCACUUUAACUCUUACGGUCCACUUAAAAUGUAAUCAUACGUUUAUGUAUUUCUAGUUAAUGUAUCAAACUCAACUGAGUAAUCAAUGUACAUCAUUUAUUUUGCUCCUAAGUUAAUACACUAAGUUAUGCUUUAAAAUUACUAAUUUGCUGCAAUAUCCAAUACUCUCUUUUAAGUCUUACGUCUGCAGAAAAGGAUAUAAACAUUUCAUGACACCAAACCCAAGUAUUUUUGAUGCCCUUGGCAGUGUCAGUUGAACAGACAGUGUCAUUUAAUGUUUGAGACAGCAUCUGAAUUCCUUUUAUUCUUAAAAUUCUAUUUUAAAAUGCAGUUUUUGGAAAGUUAAUGUGAAUAGAAAAAUUUCUAACAUUUUAUGUGCAUGUGUUUUGUUUGUUACAGGCUUAGCAUCUCAAAUCUGAAAAUUCGAAAUCUGAAAUGUUUCUAAAAUUCAACUCUUUUGAGUGCUGAUAUGACUUUCAAAGGAAAAGCUCAUUGGAGCAUUUCAGAUUUUGGAUUUUUGGAUUUGGGAUGUUUAACCAGGGUAAAAUAUAGAAUGCAAAUAUUCCAAAAUCUGAAUAAAAUUGAAAUCUGAAAUGCUUAUGGUUCCAAGCAUUUUGGAUAAGGGAUAAUUAAGCUGUAUAACUUAUAAAACUGAAUAUAACAAAAUUUCCCAACAUGUGGAAAAUGAUGUCUUUUUUCAAAAAUGUCAAUAGCAGAUACAUGGUACAGUAAGUUAGGGGAAAAAAUGAGGUUUCAUAUCUUCUAGUUUCCUAAUUAAAAGGAGCCCAUUCUGGGUUGGAAGAAAGUGUCAGUAAGAUCAUUUCUCCUAUUUGAAAAUCAUACAAAGCUUGUCAGAGUGACUCAGGCCAGGAGUGUAGCUGGGCGUGUAGCUAAAUGAUAUCUCCCCACAUCUAUAUAAUAAGCUGUUACCUGCUUUAAAAGGAAAAGCUCUCAGCAUGACUCUAAUGUUGCAUUUCUGGAAUACAGCUUGAAAAGCUCUUCUCAGGGUUGAACAGAGCAUGAAGGUAAUGGUUAUUAUCUACUCACAUUAAAAAAAAAAAAAAAGAAAGAAACCACCACAGAAAACUACUUACUGUCUUUAGGCUCUACUUUCAAAAGUGCCCUUUAUGAACGCUUUUACACUGUUGAUGGGAGUGUAAAUUAGUUCAACCAUUGUGGAAGACAGUGUGGUGAUUCCUCAAGGAUCUAGAAUCAGAAAUACCAUUUGACCCAGCAAUCCCAUUACUGGGUAUAUACCCAAAGGAUUAUAAAUCAUUCUAUUAUAAAGACACAUGCACACGUAUGUUUAUUGCAGCACUGUUCACAAUAGCAAAGACUUGGAACCAACCCAAAUGCCCAUCAAUGAUAGACUGGAUAAAGAAAUUGUGGCACAUACACACCAUGGAAUACUAUGCAGCCAUAAUAAAAGAUGAGUUCAUGUCCUUUGCAAGGACAUGGACAAAGCUGGAAACCAUCAUUCUCAGCAAACAAGAACAGAAAAUCAAACACUGCAUGUUCUCAGUCUAAGUGGGAGCUGAACAAUGAGAAAACAUGGACACAGAGAGGGGAACAUCACACACUGGGCCUGUUGGGGGGUAGGGGGCUAGGGGAGGGAUAGCAUUAGGAGAAAUACCUAAUGUAAAUGACAGGUUAAUGGGUGCAGCAAACCACCAUGGCA